rnacentral:lncRNA from 1 species
GCCACCAGGGUCGCCUUUAGGGAACUUGAUGAAUCGGCCAGCUCCACCUUAACUUUUUCCAUGGUAGCAGCCGAGUUCUUUUACACCUUAAUCCCAAGCGCCCAGCCAAGGACAAGCGACCUACUCAUCAUCUCCACCAUUGUCGACACUAUGUCUUUUACAGGUGCAGAAAUGAUGAUCUCUUCUUCCUCGGGGGUACAUGCGACAUGCACGCCCCUAGUAAGAUGAAGUCGCUCGACCAACAGGGAGGACGACCUAGUUUCCAGUGAUGGUUGCGGAGUGGUACGCGAGGAGACCGCUCGG